rnacentral:rRNA from 1 species
UGGGCGAAAGCCUGAUGCAGCAACGCCGCGUGCGCGAUGAAGGUCUUCGGAUCGUAAAGCGCUUUUAAGAGAGAUGAGAAAGGACAGUAUCUCUGGAAUAAGGAUCGGCUAACUACGUGCCAGCAGCCGCGGUAAAACGUAGGAUCCGAGCGUUAUCCGAAUUUACUGGGCGUAAAGCGCGUGCAGGCGGUUUGGUAAGUCGGAUGUGAAAGCUCCUGGCUCAACUGGGAGAGGCCGUUCGAAACUACCAGACUAGAGGACGGUAGAGGGAGGUGGAAUUCCUGGUGUAGUAGUGAAAUGCGUAGAUAUCAGGAGGAACACCUGUGGCGAAAGCGGCCUCCUGGACCGUUCCUGACGCUCAGACGCGAAAGCUAGGGGAGCGAACGGGAUUAGAGACCCCGGUAGUCCUAGCUGUAAACCAUGUAGACUUGGCGUCGGUGGGGUAAAAGCCAUCGGUGCCGAAGCUAACGCGUUAAGUCUACCGCCUGAGGACUACGGCCGCAAGGUUAAAACUCAAAAAAAUUGACGGA